UUUUUGAAAAUAUUUCAUAUUUUCUUAUCGUGUCGCGUUUUUUGUUUCUGUUGGGCAACUUAACCGGAGAUCAAGGCUGCAUUUGUUUUCUCUUCCUUGCUGGUGAAGAUUUUUUUUUUCUAAUUACCUUUUUGGAUCUGAUUCAAAGAAACUGUAGCAGUGUGAUUUUUGUUUUCUUUUUUCUUUAAUCUGUGGAGGUGAAAUAAACGAGGAUAGAUUGACAUCACUCAUGAAAGUAGCAGUGUGUUUUUGUUUUUAUGGAGGCCACGGUUCAACGGGUUUGAUGCAGGCAGCAGAGAUGGUGAUAAUGGAAAGGUGGUAAUCGGGGCAAGGCGGUGGCGGAGAGGCCAUGAAUUUGAUGAAGGCUAGUAGUGGUGACGGUAUAUUUUAGGAUCGAUAGGUGGCGAUGGAGCGGCGGUGGAGGGGCUAUGAGAGAUGGUAGUGUUACAGUUAUUAUUGGAUGCAAAGUUUUUAACUUUAGUUUAUUUUAUUUUCACAGUAGCAAUUUUCUACACAUGUAAUUUUUUAAUUUAUGAAGCG
rnacentral:lncRNA from 1 species